rnacentral:tRNA from 1 species
GGGAGUGUUCCCGAGCGGUCAAAGGGGGCAGACUGUAAAUCUGUUGCCGUACGGCUACGGUGGUUCGAAUCCACCCGCUCCCACCA